rnacentral:rRNA from 1 species
GACGAACGCUGACGGUGUGCUUUAGACAUGCAAGUCGAACGAGAAAGCCCUUCGGGUUAGUAAAGUAGGCGAACGGGUGAGUAACACGUGGGCAAUCUGCCCCUCGCAGGGGGACGAACCGGAGGAAACCCCGGCUAAUACCCCGCAGUUCAAAGGGAGGCAUCUCCCCUUGAAGAAAGGUAGCUUCGGCCAUCCGGCGAGGGAUGAGCCCGCGGUGCAUUAGCUAGUUGGGUGGGGUAACGGCCCACCAAGGCGACGANGCAUAGCUGGUCUGAGAGGAUGAUCAGCCACACUGGGACUGAGACACGGCCCAGACUCCUACGGGAGGCAGCAGUCGGGGAAUCUUGCGCAAUGGGCGAAAGCCUGACGCAGCAACACCGUGUGUGUGAGGAAGGCCCUCGGGUCGUAAAGCACUGUUGGUGGGGGACGAAGGGCGGAAGGGUUAAUAGCCCCUAGCUUGACGGGUACCCUUCGAGGAAGCCCCGGCUAACUACGUGCCAGCCGCCGCCGUAAC